rnacentral:tRNA from 1 species
GCCCGCCUAGCUCAAUCGGAUAGAGCGUAAGACUUUUAAGGCAGUGGCAAUCACGUGUCCCGAAAUCUUAAGGCUGCGAGUUCGACCCUCGCGGUGGGCU